CGGACCCCCGGCAUAGAUCACGCAAUUUGGGCAAGGUCAUCGAUACCCUCACGUGUGGUUUUGCCGACCUCAUGGGGUAC
rfam:Hepatitis C virus strain RF1_2k/1b, N687 polyprotein gene, complete cds